AUUGAACGCUGGCGGCAGGCCUAACACAUGCAAGUCGAACGAGCGGCGGACGGGUGAGUAAUGUCUGGGAAUCUGGCUUAUGGAGGGGGAUAACUACGGGAAACUGUAGCUACUACCGCGUACCAUAGGAUGAGCCCAGAUGGGAUUAGGUAGUUGGUGAGGUAAAGGCUCACCAAGGCGACGAUCUCUAGCUGGUCUGAGAGGAUGACCAGCCACACUGGGACUGAGACACGGCCCAGACUCCUACGGGAGGCAGCAGUGGGGAAUAUUGCGCAAUGGGGGCAAUCCUGACGCAGCCAUGCCGCGUGAAUGAAGAAGGCCUUCGGGUUGUAAAGUUCUUUCGGUGGCGAGGCGUUAACUACAGAAGAAGCACCGGCUAACUCCGUGCCAGCAGCCGCGGUAAUAC
rnacentral:rRNA from 1 species